GACGUAGGGCGCAAGCGUUGUCCGGAAUCAUUGGGCGUAAAGAGCGUGUAGGCGGCCCGGUAAGUCCGCUGUGAAAGUCCAGGGCUCAACCCUGGGAUGCCGGUGGAUACUGUCGGGCUCGAGUCCGGAAGAGGAGUGUGGAAUUCCUGGUGUAGCGGUGAAAUGCGCAGAUAUCAGGAGGAACACCAAUGGCGAAGGCAGCACUCUGGGCCUUACCUGACGCUGAGGAGCGAAAGCGUGGGGAGCGAACAGG
rnacentral:rRNA from 1 species